GACGAACGCUGGCGGCGUGCCUAAUACAUGCAAGUAGAACGCUGAAGGAGGAGCUUGCUUCUCUGGAUGAGUUGCGAACGGGUGAGUAACGCGUAGGUAACCUGCCUGGUAGCGGGGGAUAACUAUUGGAAACGAUAGCUAAUACCGCAUAAGAGUAGAUGUUGCAUGACAUUUGCUUAAAGGUGCAAUUGCAUCACUACCAGAUGGACCUGCGUUGUAUUAGCUAGUUGGUGGGGUAACGGCUCACCAAGGCGACGAUACAUAGCCGACCUGAGAGGGUGAUCGGCCACACUGGGACUGAGACACGGCCCAGACUCCUACGGGAGGCAGCAGUAGGGAAUCUUCGGCAAUGGACGGAAGUCUGACCGAGCAACGCCGCGUGAGUGAAGAAGGUUUUCGGAUCGUAAAGCUCUGUUGUAAGAGAAGAACGAGUGUGAGAGUGGAAAGUUCACACUGUGACGGUAUCUUACCAGAAAGGGACGGCUAACUACGUGCCAGCAGCCGCGGUAAUACGUAGGUCCCGAGCGUUGUCCGGAUUUAUUGGGCGUAAAGCGAGCGCAGGCGGUUAGAUAAGUCUGAAGUUAAAGGCUGUGGCUUAACCAUAGUACGCUUUGGAAACUGUUUAACUUGAGUGCAAGAGGGGGAGAGUGGAAUUCCAUGUGUAGCGGUGAAAUGCGUAGAUAUAUGGAGGAACACCGGUGGCGAAAGCCGGCUCUCUGGCUUGUAACUGACGCUGAGGCUCGAAAGCGUGGGGAGAAACAGGAUUAUAUACCCCUUGUAUUCCAAGGGCGAAUUCACAGUGAAUAUCAAGCUUUUCGAUACUCUUCGACCGCGGGGGGAUAUAUAUAUAAAAAAAAAAUAUUUUGCCAUUCAGGAUGUGUUCUUUAACCCCCAUGG
rnacentral:rRNA from 1 species